UACGUAGGGGGCUAGCGUUGUCCGGAAUCAUUGGGCGUAAAGCGCGCGUAGGCGGCCAGAUAAGUCCGGUGUGAAAGUCACAGGCUCAACCUGUGAAUGCCGCUGGAAACUGUCUGGCUAGAGUCCGGAAGGGGCGAGUGGAAUUCCCGGUGUAGAGGUGAAAUUCGUAGAUAUCGGGAGGAACACCAGUGGCGAAGGCGGAGACCUGGGCCGAUACUGACGCUGAGGUGCGAAAGCGUGGGGAGCAAACAGG
rnacentral:rRNA from 1 species